CUUCAGCGAGCCCAGCCACAGCGGCUCGUCCCGGUCCGCGCCGUAGGUCGCGAGCAGCGCCUGCGCCUC
rnacentral:antisense_RNA from 1 species